AAAUUGAAGAGUUUGAUCAUGGCUCAGAUUGAACGCUGGCGGCAGGCCUAACACAUGCAAGUCGAGCGGUAGCACAGAGAGCUUGCUCUCGGGUGACGAGCGGCGGACGGGUGAGUAAUGUCUGGGAAACUGCCUGAUGGAGGGGGAUAACUACUGGAAACGGUAGCUAAUACCGCAUAACGUCGCAAGACCAAAGUGGGGGACCUUCGGGCCUCAU
rnacentral:rRNA from 1 species